UACAGAGGUCCCAAGCGUUGUUCGGAUUCACUGGGCGUAAAGGGUGCGUAGGUGGUGAGGUAAGUCGGAUGUGAAAUCUCCGAGCUCAACUCGGAAAUUGCAUUGGAAACUACCUUGCUUGAGGGUUGGAGGGGGACUGGAAUGCUUGGUGUAGCAGUGAAAUGCGUAGAUAUCAAGAGGAACACCAGUGGCGAAGGCGAGUCCCUGGACAACACCUGACACUGAGGCACGAAAGCUAGGGGAGCAAACAGG
rnacentral:rRNA from 1 species